rnacentral:rRNA from 1 species
AGUGAACGCUGGCGGUAGGCCUAACACAUGCAAGUUGAACGGCAGCACAGUAAGAGCUUGCUCUUACGGGUGGCGAGUGGCGGACGGGUGAGGAAUACAUCGGAAUCUACUUUUUCGUGGGGGAUAACGUAGGGAAACUUACGCUAAUACCGCAUACGACCUACGGGUGAAAGCAGGGGAUCUUCGGACCUUGCGCGAUUGAAUGAGCCGAUGUCGGAUUAGCUAGUUGGCGGGGUAAAGGCCCACCAAGGCGACGAUCCGUAGCUGGUCUGAGAGGAUGAUCGGCCACACUGGAACUGAGACACGGUCCAGACUCCUACGGGAGGCAGCAGUGGGGAAUAUUGGACAAUGGGCGCAAGCCUGAUCCAGCCAUACCGCGUGGGUGAAGAAGGCCUUCGGGUUGUAAAGCCCUUUUGUUGGGAAAGAAAAGCAGCAGGUUAAUACCCCGCUGUUCUGACGGUACCCAAAGAAUAAGCACCGGCUAACUUCGUG